UGACUUACCUGGACGGGGUCAAUAGGCGAUCAAGAAGGCUUAUGGUCAAUCUAAGGUCAGCUCCUAUCCAUUACACUUGGGAGCGAUGCCAGUCUAAGGUCAGCUUAAGUGGUUGAGCCCACGUCAUAAUUUGUGGUAGUCCCCCCCACCCCGC